UACGUAGGGAGCAAGCGUUGUCCGGAAUCAUUGGGCGUAAAGCGCGCGUAGGUGGCCUCAUAAGUCCGCUGUGAAAGUCAAAGGCUCAACCUUUGAAAGCCGGUGGAUACUGUGAGGCUAGAGUACGGAAGAGGCGAGUGGAAUUCCUGGUGUAGCGGUGGAAUGCGCAGAUAUCAGGAGGAACACCAAUAGCGAAGGCAGCUCGCUGGGACGUUACUGACACUGAGAGACGAAAGCUAGGGGAGCGAAUGGG
rnacentral:rRNA from 1 species